rnacentral:rRNA from 1 species
AUUGAACGCUGGCGGCAUGCCUUACACAUGCAAGUCGAACGGUAAUAGGUCUUCGGAUGCUGACGAGUGGCGAACGGGUGAGUAAUACAUCGGAACGUGCCCGAUCGUGGGGGAUAACGAAGCGAAAGCUUUGCUAAUACCGCAUAAGAUCUAAGGAUGAAAGCAGGGGACCGCAAGGCCUUGCGCGAACGGAGCGGCCGAUGGCAGAUUAGGUAGUUGGUGGGAUAAAAGCUUACCAAGCCGACGAUCUGUAGCUGGUCUGAGAGGACGACCAGCCACACUGGGACUGAGACACGGCCCAGACUCCUACGGGAGGCAGCAGUGGGGAAUUUUGGACAAUGGGCGAAAGCCUGAUCCAGCCAUGCCGCGUGCAGGAUGAAGGCCUUCGGGUUGUAAACUGCUUUUGUACGGAACGAAAAGACUCUGGUUAAUACCUGGGGUCCAUGACGGUACCGUAAGAAUAAGCACCGGCUAACUACGUGCCAGCAGCCGCGGUAAAAC